GGGAAAAGCAAACAGGGCGGAGAGGGACACGUGUGCGCGAGCAUGGAGGGGACAACAAGCAGGGCGACAAAAGUAAAGGCAGUGGGAGAGGAGGGAAUGAACUCCAAAGCCGAGGGCUGGCUCCCAGCACCUCCCUGCCCCUGCCACAAGACCUUUUGUCAGGAGAAGUCCUCCUGACCUCAGCAGAUGCCACAGCAGGUUUUAUCUGUGAGUCACUGAGGAUUAUCAGCCACAAGCUGGCCAGACAGCAGAGAGAUAUAUAAGCAACUAAAAUGGAAGAGACAUUUCUAAAUGGCUUGUAAAAAAAAAACAACAACAACAACAACAACAACAAAAUCAACAAAAAUGACAAAGCAACACUGACUUUUAGCUGCUUAUCAGAAGACACUGAACUAUAGGGAAUUUAGGUUUAGGGAAGGACAGCAUAUUCUAUAAAUAAACACUGUAUGAUUUAAAAGAUAUAGCUUACAUGUGAAUCCUGUCCUAGACUAAGUUAGUAUUUCUUUCUCAGACAGAGAGGGAUGAGUUCUCCUACAGCUAUUCAAAAAACACAAUUUGAUCCCUUCUGCUCUACCCCUUCCUCACUCUUAGCCUGACCUAUGUGCAUUUACCCAUAAACUGCAUUUUCUGCAGACUUGGCAAGUCUCUCUUUAAAGAAAGUGGUCUCUUGAAGAUCAGGUGAAAGACAUAUUCUUCAGCCUGACAUGAUCCUGCAAAGCCUCCAUCUCCAGGUGAUCUUCCCACCACUAGCCCUGUGCCAGCCACAGGGAGCAUGAAGAUGCAGCUUCCCUUCUGCUGGGGCAGGAGCCCCAGGCCCCUGGGGAAGGCAUGGCAGCUGGUCUCCCUGGUGUCCAUGAGCUUCUGAAAAUUAUGUGAAGUUGCUGAGAACCUCUUUCUGAAUGAAUAAAUGAAUGCUGGUUAA